rnacentral:rRNA from 1 species
UACGUAGGGGGCAAGCGUUGUUCGGAAUUACUGGGCGUAAAGGGCGCGUAGGCGGCCUUGUAAGUCUCGUGUGAAAGCCCUCGGCUUAACUGAGGAUCUGCACGGGAUACUGUAAGGCUCGAGUUCGGGAGAGGAAAGCGGAAUUCCGGGUGUAGCGGUGAAAUGCGUAGAUAUCCGGAGGAACACCAGUGGCGAAGGCGGCUUUCUGGACCGACACUGACGCUGAGGCGCGAAAGCUAGGGGAGCAAACGGG